rnacentral:lncRNA from 1 species
UCCUUCUGCUCUUUCCCCAUUCCUAUAUUCCACAUUGAAGUGAUUGAUCCGCAAUAUUGUAUGCUGUAUCGGCUCCGGUAGUAGUUCAGCUUAUGUUCAGGGCAUGAAUUUUCGAGUUCAAAGCGCACUGUCACACACGGAUGCAAAUCAGGACCUUGAGACCUCGGAUGACCACCCCUACAGAGACCAGAGGAGCUCCCUCGGGCCCAUCCAGUGAGUGACUCGGUUCAUAAGCAGUACCUUUUGAUUUGAUUGCACCUGCGCACCACUGCAGUGCACGCCAGAUCCCACCUGAUCUCCAUAGACUCACAGCACUGCUCUUGAGAGGUGAGCUGCAAAUGCAUGCAGGCGAUUAUUCAAUGCUGCCGCAUGUGAGCACUGCGCAGCCUAUUUCUGACAAGGGGAGGAGCGAGUCGGCAGAAACAGACGAACACACGCCGCUGGCGCGAGAGUUCAGCAGUUUUUCCAUGUCCCAGG